AUGCAAAUCAAUGUGGUGAGGACCGGCUGUUGCAGGGAUGCUCACGGAAGUGCAGUCAUAGGGCUCGGCGGACUAGCAUCACUGGUUGGUGGAGGAGAAGAAGGCAAAUGUGAGCUUGUACUUAUUUAUCUUUAUCCCAGGGCGUUCUUGGAGUUCACUAAGUUUGUGGGGGCGGCACACAUCAGCGAUCGAGGGCUGCUAGAGAUAUCAUCCAUGGCAUUGCUUCCAAUCUGACCCUCUGUCUUGCUGUGGGGAUUGGUCUGGAUCAUUUACAAGGACAUUGUUCGUCCGGUAUAUAGUCCAUCGAACUUGAUUUUUUUCCUUCAUUAUUUUACCAUAUCAAUUUGUAUGCCAUAUUCACAUAUAAUAAUGAUAUAAAAAUGCAAACUAGAUGUUGUGUUCAUCGACCUAUCUAUUGGCUAUUACUGUCAUAGUGUAGAAGAAGGAUUUGGAUACUGUAUUUUGUGGUCGGAUGUUUUCACCUAUGCUAUUAAGUUGCUUUGAGAAGAAUUUAUUGUACAUGUCAAGCAAUGUGUCAAUGGGGCGGUGCGUUGUACUUGUCACGGUGGAGUGCAUGCUACUCGACACGGAUCCUGUGGCAUUACCAUCGUAACCGUAGUGCAGUGCGUGCCGCUGAGACGGACGGGUGCAGCGGGGCAUGGUCGUCGCCACUCCAGCUCUCAUGAUCCUCUCCCUACUGAUCAAGUGUAUGGUUUCUUACACUAAAAUACUGGAUGAUAGAAGACAAGAAAAGGGUUUCUUUUGAUUGGUUGUUUGAUUCAUACAUCAUUUAGUUUUUCAUGAUCUUUGAGUCUUAAUACUUAAUAUUACAGCUCCUGCAAUUUCUCUAAGCUGCAAACCAAUAUCCAUGUAUUUUGAGCUGAUGAUGAUUGUACCUGAACAUUUUUGCUGCAUGUUUCUGGGCCAUGUAGUGAUAAGGAUGAGGUGUGUAUUUUAUUUUUCAUGGAGAAAGAUAAGAACAGAUCUGUGUUUAGUUUAACACGUAUUUUAGUUUUCAAAGAUAAGCGAGAUAUAUGUCUCUUUGAAUAAAAACUUUCUCAUUUGAGUUUUAGAGUGGAAGUUUUGUCUUGCCUGUUCACAACGUGUUGAUAAAGUAAUAGAUUUUUGCUGCUCCUCGAAUGAUUUACUUCGCAAUGCAUUGUAAUUUAGUGGCUGCAUGAUUGAUGGCUGGCCUUCUCUUUCUAAUGCCGGUACACGGUGCUGUCAGAUGCUUUGAGCCAAUGCCUUCUACUACUAUUGGUUUAUUGAGGUCCACUGCAGGAAACAAGCAGAAGGAAAGCUUGAUGGAUAUAAGGUUAUAUUGAGGAGGAUCUUACCAUAUGCAGUAAGAUGCUUGCAUAACCGUGCAACAGGUUCCUCUUUCAGUUCUUGAGGGUGAAUGGAACAAAAGUGUGCAAAUGAAUUCAGUGACUAAUAUAAGCUACAGAAGAGGUAUAAUUAAAUGUUCAGACAAAAAUCUGUUCAGUUAUGGUGGCAUGUUUAGCUUUAAGUUUCCCUAAAUUUUAACUACCAGAAAAAUAUUGUAUCGGAUGGGCUAUUGAAUUGAUGGCAAAGGUCAGAUUUUUAAAAUUUUCUAUUUAUGGUGGAAACGCAAAGUGAAUCAUAUACAAGACCAUUGCAGCUUUUUAGGGAAAAUAAUUUGUGUUAUAAAAUGCAAUUCUAGAGUUACUGGUAUAUAUAAUUUCUGAUGACUGAAAUAUAUAAUAUUUUGGUUCAGGAAGUUGAUUGGUUGCAUUGUAUAAAUAUCUUGCUGUAAAUUUUAAAAUGGUUUUUCCUGCAGGUGCUGAUUCUAUCAACUGGUUUUUGGUGUCUUGUAUAUUUAGGUCAUUAUUUAUUUGAGGUCAUCCUCCACUAUGCCCUUCUCCUCGUGCACAUGGCCUCAUAGGUCAUGAAUUAAAAUUAUUGUUUGUGGUGCAUGCCAAUAGUAUGAUCCAGAAAUUAAUUGAAUAUUAAGCUCUUGGUUCUGGCUUGUCAAUCCAUCAGUGUAUGCAACAUAAGGUAUUUCCAUUUGAUUCUGCAAUGCUUGGUCAUCAUCGGGUUAUGGAAGUUUUUGUGUGAGUGAUUCUCAUGCUCUCUACUCUUAUUUGCUCUAUGCAGUAUAGUAUAAUGUAUACUGGAAUAGGUCGUGAGAUAUGUAGUUAUUUUGUAUGUCCAUAUUUUAUCUCCAUUUUCUUUGUCAAUGAUUUACACUGUAGUUGGUAAUUUUUAGAACCAGUUUAAGGUAUUAUUUGAAGGCUUGUGCUGCUUUAUAAUCAAGUUUGACCUUACAAUAGAGUUGUUCGUUGUAAUGACACUAUCAUGCAGAUGAGUUACCUUGUACUGCUUUAUAAUCAAGUUUGACCUUACAUUAGCGUUGUUUGUUAUAAUGACACUAUCAUGCAGAUGAGUUACCUAGAUGAAUGGGUGGUGUCGAUAAAAUAUCAUUGGUCUCUUGUCCGAUGCGGGAGCUCUAAUCAAGCUAUCUAUACUUAUGUUGUUCUAUCAAGAAUUAACUGAACAAAGAAAUGCAGGCCAUGGUCUACCUUUCAGUAUGACUAAUUCUGAAAAGGAUAUCUUUGGAACGUUGUCUCUUUAGUUUUCUCCGAUAGGAUGUGAUUUCCUGGAUAUUGGUGGUCUCUAUUAUUGCCGUGUUCAAGGUCAAAUGAAGGAUUCAGAUGUGCUCAAUUAUGUACACUGAGGUUGGAGGUGUGCACCGAAGGUGUUUGAGUAAAUUCCCGAGUUCAGGAGAUCUGAGAGAGCAAUCACGAGAUGAAGCGGUGCUCAGCUGAAGAAAACCUGGUUGGUUAUGAGGCUGCUCAACAGGACAAUGGAUCUCAGCCAGAUAUAUUCAGUAUGAGACUGACAAGGCUGAAACUCUGUCAUCCAGUGACAAGGUGAUACUUCGACGGAAAAGGCCUUAUUUUCCAACAAUGAUUACCAUGGAAAACUUUAUUAAGCGAGACUCCUAUUUCGUGUGUAACUUCGUGUGAUUUAUCGUAAGAUCAUCAUAUCGAUUUCAUUUUUUGAAACCUAAUAAACAAAUUAUCAUU